GGUUGCUGCAAAAAAUUAACAAUAGCAGCCCAUGACUGGAAAAAAUUUUGUAAAUGUCACCAUUUAACAAAGGCUUCGAUUGGCAUUUAUAUGAAUUAAUUAAAACGCAAAUAUCUUUUGCAGUCUUGUGGUCCAUCUAAAGUAAAGAAAAAUA